GACGAACGCUGGCGGCGUGCCUAAUACAUGCAAGUCGAACGCAGUGGGGACGGGUGAGUAACACGUGGGUAACCUCCCAUCAGAGGGGAUAACACUUGGCAACAGGUGCUAAACCGAUACUGAUGGAUGGACCCGCGGGUCAUUAGCUAGUUGGUGAGGUAACGGCUACCCAAGGCCACGAUGCAUAGCCGACGUGAGAGGGUGAUCGGCCAACCGGGGAGUGAGACACGGCACAGACUACUACGGGAGGCAGCAGUAGGGAAGCGUCGGCAAUGGACGAAAGUCUGACCGAGCAACGCCGCGUGAGUGAAGAAGGUUUUCGGAUCGUAAAACUCUGUUGUUAGAGAAGCGGUAUCUAACCAGAAAGCCACGGCUAACUACGUGCCAGCAGCCGCGGUAAUUC
rnacentral:rRNA from 1 species